CCUGCUCUCCUCUGGUGCAAGUGUGGUAGCUAUUGACAACAAAGUCAAGCAAGCUAUGGAUCUGGUGAAAAGCCAUUUGAUGUAUGCCGUUAGAGAGGAAGUGGAAGUCCUGAAAGAGCAAAUCAAAGAACUAAUAGAGAAGAAUUCCCAGCUGGAGCAGGAAAACAAUCUGCUGAAGACACUGGCCAGUCCUGAGCAGCUCGCCCAGUUUCAGGCCCAGCUGCAGACUGGUUUCCCCGCCUGCCACCACGCAGCCACAGGGGACACGCAGCCCCCCAGCCUAGCCGGCGUCCCGGGGCUCAGGGCCCACCGCGUAGCUGCCUGUGCCUGCGCAGAAUUGGCUGCUGCUUGUGAACUGGACAGACCGGAGAAGAUGUUCUAGGGAGGAUCCGCCUCCACCGUCACCCAUUUCAUUGCUCGCUGCGAAGAGACGUGAGACUGACACAUGCCAUUAUCUCUUUUUUCCAGUAUUAAACACUCAUAUGCUUUUGGCUUGAA